CGGGUGAGUAAUGCGUGACCAACCUGCCCCAUGCUCCAGAAUAGCUCUUGGAAACGGGUGGUAAUGCUGGAUGCUCCAACUUGACGCAUGUCUUGUUGGGAAAGUGUUUAGUGGCAUGGGAUGGGGUCGCGUCCUAUCAGCUUGUAGGCGGGGUAAUGGCCCACCUAGGCUUCGACGGGUAGCCGGCCUGAGAGACUGAUCGGCCACAUUGGGACUGAGACACGGCCCAAACUCCUACGGGAGGCAGCAGGA
rnacentral:rRNA from 1 species